GCUUGCUACCAGGCGUCGAGCGGCGGACGGGUGAGUAAUACUUAGGAAUCUACCUAGUAGUGGGGGAUAGCACGGGGAAACUCGUAUUAAUACCGCAUACGACCUACGGGAGAAAGGGGGCAGUUUACUGCUCUCGCUAUUAGAUGAGCCUAAGUCGGAUUAGCUAGAUGGUGGGGUAAAGGCCUACCAUGGCGACGAUCUGUAGCUGGUCUGAGAGGAUGAUCAGCCACACCGGGACUGAGACACGGCCCGGACUCCUACGGGAGGCAGCAGUGGGGAAUAUUGGACAAUGGGGGAAACCCUGAUCCAGCCAUGCCGCGUGUGUGAAGAAGGCCUUUUGGUUGUAAAGCACUUUAAGCAGUGAAGAAGACUCUUCGGUUAAUACCCGGAGACGAUGACAUUAGCUGCAGAAUAAGCACCGGCUAACUCUGUGCCAGCAGCCGCGGUAAUACAGAGGGUGCAAGCGUUAAUCGGAAUUACUGGGCGUAAAGCGAGCGUAGGUGGCUUGAUAAGUCAGAUGUGAAAUCCCCGGGCUUAACCUGGGAACUGCAUCUGAAACUGUUAGGCUAGAGUAGGUGAGAGGGAAGUAGAAUUUCAGGUGUAGCGGUGAAAUGCGUAGAGAUCUGAAGGAAUACCGAUGGCGAAGGCAGCUUCCUGGCAUCAUACUGACACUGAGGCUCGAAAGCGUGGGUAGCAAACAGGAUUAGAUACCCUGGUAGUCCACGCCGUAAACGAUGUCUACUA
rnacentral:rRNA from 1 species